rnacentral:lncRNA from 1 species
GCUUUUGGCGAUGAACGGUGGAGCUUCAUGCAAGUAGCGCCGCAAGGUGCCGUGUGCAUGGGGCGAAGCUUAGUACUUGUUGAUCUCCAUUGGAUGUUGCGGGCAAAAUCGGGAGGCGACAUCGCUCGUGGCGGCUGAUGGCUUUUGACAACAGAACGGCAAAGCAUCGUGCAAGUAGCACCGCAAGGUGCCGUGCGCAUGGGGCGAAGCUCAGUAAGUUGUUGAUUGCCAUCGGUUGUUGUGGGUUGUGUCUUGAAUCUCUCGUGGCGGCUGAUGGCUUUCAACAAAAAACGGCGGAGCCUCGUGCAAGUAGCGCCGUAAGGUGCCGUGCGCAUGGGGCGAAGCUCAGUAAAUGUUGAUU